rnacentral:rRNA from 1 species
UACGGAGGAUCCGAGCGUUAUCCGGAUUUAUUGGGUUUAAAGGGUGCGUAGGCGGACUGGUAAGUCAGCUGUGAAAGUUUACGGCUCAACUGUGAAAUUGCAGUUGAUACUGUUGGUCUUGAGUAUGAAUGAGGUGAGCGGAAUUUGUGGUGUAGCGGUGAAAUGCUUAGAUAUCACAAAGAACUCCAAUUGCGAAGGCAGCUGACUGGGGCAUAAUUGACGCUGAGGCACGAAGGUGUGGGUAUCAAACAGG